rnacentral:rRNA from 1 species
GGACGACCGCUGGCGGCGUGCUUAACACAUGCAAGUCGAACGGUGAAGCGCCUUCCUUUUUGGUGGGUGUGGAUGAGUGGCGAACGGGUGAGUAACACGUGAGUAACCUGCCCCCUUCUUCUGGAUAACCGCAUGAAAGUGUGGCUAAUACGGGAUAUUCUGGGUCUGUCGCAUGAUGGGUCUGGGAAAGAUAUUGUUUCGGUGGGGGAUGGGCUCGCGGCCUAUCAGCUUGUUGGUGGGGUGAUGGCCUACCAAGGCGGUGACGGGUAGCCGGCCUGAGAGGGUGGACGGUCACACUGGGACUGAGACACGGCCCAGACUCCUACGGGAGGCAGCAGUGGGGAAUAUUGCACAAUGGGCGCAAGCCUGAUGCAGCGACGCCGCGUGAGGGAUGGAGGCCUUCGGGUUGUGAACCUCUUUCGCCAGUGAAGCAGGCCUGCCUCGUUUGUGGGUGGGUUGACGGUAGCUGGAUAAGAAGCGCCGGCUAACUACGUG